rnacentral:sRNA from 1 species
ACUGAAUUGUCACAUUGAUCUUGGACUUCUCAGCUUCCAGAACUAAUCCCAUCCAGGGUAUGACAUUGAACUUACUCAUCACGUCUCUAUAGUGUCUUCUGGAUGGGAUUGAAAUCUGCUGUGAGUUUAGACCUUUAUCUGUUUCACAAGACUCCCUGUAUUGAGUUGAACAUGAAGACUCAUCUUUCCCAGUUCCCUAAUAAGAGUUCCCAGGCUUAAAGCUCUAUGAGAGGCAUCACAAGUAGACAGCUGCAGCACUACAGCCUAUUUCUGGGACAUCCUUAAAGAAUGCUGGUGAAGGAAAAUCCUUUCUGCAGCCAGAACUUUGAACAGUAAACCUGAUUGUUCAUUUUGCCUGGAAGGGGAAAGGGCCUGAGGAGUUUGGAACUAAGACCCCUAGACAGCAGAUCCUAAGGGAGGAAUGACUCUACCAGGAGACAAAAUAAUGACUCUGUUAAAGUUGAGAUGGCCGGCUGACUCAUACCUCUGAUUCAAAAGUAAAGGAGUUGCUGUACUGG